GCCAACUUAGCUCAGAUGGUAGAGCAGGGUUUUUGUAAAGCUCAGGUCAUCGGUUCAAGUCCGUUAGUUGGCU
rnacentral:tRNA from 1 species